GCUGGGCUUGGUAGCGCGAGCCUGUAACCCAAGUGGGAGCAUUAAGAUGGUGGAAUAAAUGGGCUUGCCUUGAAGGCUGGGCUCGGGGGUGCAAUCUACUGGCUUGCCCGUUCCAAGUGAUGAGUCCGGCUGGGAAGCCUCUGCGAAGGCGGAGGCCUCUCGGCCCUUAGAUCGGAGGGUACCGCGUCAGGCUGGCUUCACAGAGCAGCGAACACCUCUUCCUCUUUGCAGUGGAAGGAUAACAGGCCGGAGCAUCUUCAGUCCACCAAGCGCCUGAUGGGUUGUCCAAAAUAAACCACCAUCUUU
rnacentral:SRP_RNA from 1 species